UGCUCAGUCACACAUGAGGAGGUGAAUCUAUCACAAUCCGCCUUUUGUUUAUGCCAUCGACAUCACCGUCUUUUACUCCAUGUCAUACGAGUACUUGGGUCACCAAAAUAAAGUGGGAGUCAAGAACCUG